AGCUUCUCCCUUGCCCAAUCCUAUUUCUCUGACUCAUGCAAGACUCAUUCGAUAUUACAGGUAUUUUUCCUCAUUAAACCACCUGUAUGCAAAUCUCUGUCUUGGAGUGUAUUUCCAGGGAGUCUGACCUACACAUGUGCCAAAUGGCAGAGUGGCAAAAAGAAGCAUUGUCCUCUGUCUCCUCUUUCAGAUGGUGAUGUGGUGAAACAAGCAAAUGUAUCAUGUUAAAGCAGUAAUGGUACGCUUGCCAUGUUAUGAUCUUCCUGAAGAUGUAUCCAAAAUUUCUUUACUUCAGAGGGCUGAAUGAAGCCAUGGAGUUAGAAGGGACCUGAAUCCGGAGAAGGGAGCAACACCGAGAGCUCAGCUGCUCAUUGGAGGACACUUCCCCAGGGGCUCCUCGUCCUGCAAGCUGCGGAGGAACAGGCACUCCCUCAGAGGUCCUACCUAAAGCACGCUCCUCCUUUAUUCUCUGUCACAACUGUCUUCACGGCAUGUC